rnacentral:rRNA from 1 species
GACGAACGCUGGCGGCGUGCCUAAUACAUGCAAGUAGAACGCUGAAGGAGGAGCUUGCUUCUCUGGAUGAGUUGCGAACGGGUGAGUAACGCGUAGGUAACCUGCCUGGUAGCGGGGGAUAACUAUUGGAAACGAUAGCUAAUACCGCAUAAUAGUAGAUGUUGCAUGACAUUUGCUUAAAAGGUGCAAUUGCAUCACUACCAGAUGGACCUGCGUUGUAUUAGCUAGUUGGUGGGGUAACGGCUCACCAAGGCGACGAUACAUAGCCGACCUGAGAGGGGGAUCGGCCACACUGGGACUGAGACACGGCCCAGACGCCUACGGGAGGCAGCAGUAGGGAAUCGUCGGCAAUGGACGGAAGUCUGACCGAGCAACGCCGCGUGAGUGAAGAAGGUUGUCGGAUCGUAAAGCUCGGUUGUAAGAGAAGAACGAGUGUGAGAGUGGAAAGUUCACACUGUGACGGUAUCUUACCAGAAAGGGACGGCUAACUACGUG